CGAUUGUAGUCAUAUGCUUGUCUCAAAGAUCAAGCCAUGCAUGUCUAAGUAUAAGCAAUCUUUACAGUGAAACUGCGAAUGGCUCAUUAAAUCAGUUAUCGUUUAUUUGAUAGCACCUUACUACUUGGAUAACCGUGGUAAUUCUAGAGCUAAUACAUGCUAAAAACCUCGACUUCGGAAGGGGUGUAUUUAUUAGAUAAAAAACCAAUGCCCUUCGGGGCUCCUUGGUGAUUCAUGAUAACUUAACGAAUCGCAUGGCCUUGUGCCGGCGAUGGUUCAUUCAAAUUUCUGCCCUAUCAACUUUCGAUGGUAGGAUAGUGGCCUACCAUGGUUUCAACGGGUAACGGGGAAUUAGGGUUCUAUUCCGGAGAGGGAGCCUGAGAAACGGCUACCACAUCCAAGGAAGGCAGCAGGCGCGCAAAUUACCCAAUCCCGACACGGGGAGGUAGUGACAAUAAAUACUGAUACAGGGCUCUUUUGGGUCUUGUAAUUGGAAUGAGUACAAUUUAAAUCCCUUAACGAGGAACAAUUGGAGGGCAAGUCUGGUA
rnacentral:rRNA from 1 species